UGAUUAAGCCAUGCGAGUCGAGAGGGUUCGGCCCUCGGCGUACUGCUCAGUAACACGUGGAUAACCUGCCCUAGGGAAGGGGAUAAUCCCGGGAAACUGGGGAUAAUACCCUAUAGGUUACAGAUGCUGGAAUGCCCUGUAACCUAAAGCUCAGGCGCCCUAGGAUGGAUCUGCGGCCGAUUAGGUAGUUGUUGGGGUAAUGGCCCAACAAGCCCGUAAUCGGUACGGGUUGUGGGAGCAAGAGCCCGGAGUUGGAUUCUGAGACACGAAUCCAGGCCCUACGGGGCGCAGCAGGCGCGAAACCUUUACAAUGCGGGCAACCGUGAUAAGGGAACCUCGAGUGCCUGUAAACGCAGGCUGUUUAGGUGUCUAAAGUGCACCUGGAGAAAGGGUCGGGCAAGACCGGUGCCAGCCGCCGCGGUAAUACCGGCGACUCGAGUGGUGACCACUUUUAUUGGGCUUAAAGCGUUCGUAGCUGGGUUGUUAAGUCUCUUGGGAAAUCUGGCGGCUUAACCGUCAGGCGUCUAAGGGAUACUGGCAAUCUUGGAACCGGGAGAGGUGAGGGGUACUUCGGGGGUAGGAGUGAAAUCCUGUAAUCCUCGAGGGACCACCUGUGGCGAAGGCGCCUCACCAGAACGGCUUCGACAGUGAGGGACGAAAGCUGGGGGAGCAAACCGGAUUAGAUACCCGGGUAGUCCCAGCUGUAAACUAUGCGCGUUAGGUGUAUCGGUGACCACGAGUUACCGAGGUGCCGAAGGGAAACCGUGAAACGUGCCGCCUGGGAAGUACGGUCGCAAGGCUGAAACUUAAAGGAAUUGGCGGGGGAGCA
rnacentral:rRNA from 1 species